GCUGCUCGGCCAUGGCGCUUCUUUCAACGUGGCCAGGCUGGGAGCACUAGGGUAGCAGCUCACAGCGCUGUCACAGCAAUGUGCUAUCCGAUCGAUCGAUCUUGGUCUCGGGUUUAGUUUCUAGAGCUUUCCGGCUUCUCCACAGCUAGUGGUUUCGUCCUCCGGCCUAUGGCACCGCUAGAAAAUCCUCCAAACCUUGAAGAACAGAUCGAGAUUUAGGAGCAGCGAGAGAUUGCACGAAAGAUCUUGCGUUGGGAGCUCGACCGCAAUUCUGCCUAGCUGCUCUAUCGAAGAUUUGCAAGUCGAGCGUUCAAACGGAGAGUGCUCAUGAAAUCGAGCCGGGCAAGAGACGAUCGAAUCAUGGGUGUUUUCCUCGAGGGAGGAUCCCCGGCAGAGAACCAAGAACUCGCAAAGGCAGCGAGAGAACAACCGAGCGUGGCAGAGUUUCUAGCCCGUCUAUAAAUUCAAUCCUUUAAUGGGCUCCGACCAAUGUGAGUGCCACGUCUGCAUUUGACAAGGUGAUGCCGCGAUUCAAAUUUCUGGCUUGGAUUCCCGGGGCCUCAACAUGGCUUAUGCACAACAAGGGAACUCUUUUGAUUAUAUAUACACAUUUGUGGGCUCAGCUGGAGGCAUUUACAAUAUACAAAUUGAUUUCCUUGUCCUGAUUUUAAUCUUGGAGUCCCUCUCUUUUGCCAAUGUGAAAAUUACUUUUGCCUGUUGAA